rnacentral:rRNA from 1 species
UACGUAGGGUGCAAGCGUUUGUCCGGAAUUAUUGGGCGUAAAGGGCUCGUAGGCGGUUUGUUGCGUCGGGAGUGAAAAACUUACAGCUUAACUGUGAGCGUGCUUCCGAUACGGGCAGACUUGAGGUAUUCAGGGGGAGAACGGAAUUCCUGGUGUAGCGGUGAAAUGCGCAGAUAUCAGGAAGAACACCGAUGGCGAAGGCAGCUCUCUGGGACGGUACUGACGCUGAGACGCGAAAGCGUGGGGAGCGAACAGG